AUGAGGAAGAGGGGACAGGAGAAGUUGAAGCGGAGGCUGAGAGCCAGUGUCCUGACUGUUGUGUCCAUGUUUGCAGUUGUUCAGUUUGAGGAGAACCUGGUGGAGUCUGGGGGAGACUUGGUGCAGCCUGAGGGAGACUUGGUGCAGCCUAAGGGGUCUCUCAGACUCUCCUGUGCAACAUCGGGGUUCACCUUCAGCAGCUACAACAAGAGCUGUGUCCUCAAGGCCCCGGGAAGGGGCUUCAGUGAGCGUGUGAACUCCGUGAAGGGCCGAAUCACUGUUUCCAGAGACAACGGCAAGAACUCGCUGUAUCUGCAGAUGAACAGCCUGAGGCCCGAGGACACCGCCGUGUAUUUCUGUGCCAGGAGCAGUAGCACGUAUAGGGGAGUGAACGCCUGGUCCAGCGCCCUCCAUAGAGCUGUGCGGACUGUGCGGCCGGGCCACGAAAGAGGGGUGCGGUGGGCAGAGAACCCUGACACGGGGCAGGAGGACCUGAGCAGCCGCCCGGACGGGGCCACUGUCUGA